rnacentral:misc_RNA from 1 species
AGGAGCUCACCUCCAUGAGCGUGAUGAGGAGCUGUCGCGCGGCGUCGCGGACGGGUUGCUUGCCGUCGUCGAGGCGCUCGACGGCGGCGGGGACGAGGGCGUUGAGGUGGAUCUUGAAGUGGUCGUCGGCGACGACGGCGGCGACGGAGAGCGCCUGGAGGCCGCCCUGGGCGAUGCGGAAGUUGGCAUCCCGCGUCAGAUCCAUGCAGGUGUCCACCAGCGUGGUGACCUCGGCCGCCGCGCGCCGCGCCGCGGCGUCAAGCGCCUCGUGCAGCCGCUUGACCCCGGCCAGACGCUCCUUGGUGUCCUUGACACGCCGCCUCUAGCGCCGCCUCCAUUUUCUCCACGCGCCCGGGGACUCCGGCGGCCCUGCCGCGGGGAGAGCUCUAGGGUUCCGGGGCGCG